rnacentral:misc_RNA from 1 species
UAAUAAGUGUUUUAUGGCACUUUUUAAAUCCAUAUCCACCUUGUGUGCAAUGUCAGUCGAUCUUCUUUAUGGAGAUCGACCAAACAUCAACCUUUAUCUUUCUAACUCUUUGUCUGAAAAAUAUUAUGAAUAAACAAUUCAAAAUA